rnacentral:pre_miRNA from 1 species
GUUUUCCCUAUUUUACAUCGUUUACUUUGGGUAAAAAAAACAAAAUGUAAAAAUUGGGUAAAACCUCAUUUUACACCCUUUUGAAAACAUUUUUUCCCCAAAUUUGGGAGUCAAAAGUAUUUUCCGUGCAAGUAACCAUUGGUAAAUUUCUAUGAAAAUGAGUUUUCCAUGGUAAAAUGUUUUUCGUGGAAAACC